CAAAAUUGUACACAGCAAAUCUUUGCGCAACCGAAUCAAGGCAAUAAAUGCACUCGUGAUAAUGAUUUUUUUCUCAUUCUCAUAUUUUAUAUCAUUUUUGCUUAGUCAAAAAUCGUAAGCUUAAUUUCAAGGUGUGGUGAUGGCCAGAAAAAAGUAUCCGGCAGCGAGUAUCAUCGGAAUUAUAUUUAAAUUUCAACCAGAUAUUUGCCCCUAGACAAUGGCGAAGUGAAUUCCGAUUUAACCAUGAUGCAGGUGAUUUAUUAACGUUCAUUUACCCAUAAUUAAGAUUGACUUUUUUCUGAGGGGAGAUGCAACUACAGCAUCUUGUCAGUGGUGGUCCAUUUCCUGAAUAUGCAACAGAUAAAUGAUGUAAAACAAUGAUGAGAAUUUGAUGUGACCCUAAUAGUGUGGCUACUUUUAUUGCAACAUGAUCGAGAGACUGUGUUAGUGAAGAUAAGGUAGAUAAGAUUGAAUGAGAAAACGGUGAGACUCCUCCAACAUGGGAUACGGUUUUUGACGUUAAUUAGACGGAUUUCUGCUAUUGCGGAAUUCAGCGGAACUUAUUUUAGAAAGCGUUGGUCUACGGCACAAUUGUGGUAUUUAGAAAAAUUUCUGAGUGAAAAAGUUUAUGUCAUUAACCAAUUUAGCUUAUUUGAGUGUUUGCAAGAUUAUUUGUUGAAAAAUUAUUGAUGGGCUUAGUGUUGAUGUUUCCGAUAGAUCCAUCAUUCAAGAUUUCUGUGAUUUAUUGAUAAUUCUGAGCCUUUGCAAAAUUGAAAAACCACGCUUCAUUUUAUGUAACAAGGAAAAUGCUCCUUGACUUACCAUAUAUUUUUUAACUUUUUCUUGUAAAACCACACACUUUUAAGGUUUUGUAUAAUAUAAAAUAUUUGUAAAAGAGAACCUUAUUAAAAUCAGUUUACUAUCUGCCUA